UGGCUGUCGUCAGCUCGUGCCGUGAGGUGUUGGGUUAAGUCCCGCAACGAGCGCAACCCCUAUUGCCAGUUACCAUCAUUCAGUUGGGGACUCUGGCGAGACUGCCGGUGAUAAACCGGAGGAAGGUGGGAUGACGUCAAGUCAUCAUGGCCCUUACGUCCUGGGCUACACACGUGCUACAAUGGUCGGUACAGAGCGAUGCGAAACAGCGAUGUAUUAGCAAAUCGCGCAAAGCCGACCUCAGUUCGGAUUGAAGUCUGAAACCCGACUUCAUGAAGGUGGAUUCGAUAGUAAUCGCAUAUCAGCACGAUGCGGUGAAUACGUUCCCGGGCCUU
rnacentral:rRNA from 1 species